rnacentral:rRNA from 1 species
GAAAUAAGAUUUUAAAUGAGUGCUAAGAGAAUGAUUAAACAAUUAAAAGCUUUCUUUAGUUAAAAAAUUAAAUUUAAUUUUUUAGUGCAAAAGCAAAAAUAAAAUUUAGGGACAAGAAGACCCUAUGAAUUUUUAUUGUUAAUAAUUAAAAUUUAAGUUAUUAAUAAUUUAAUUGGGGCGAUAAAAAAAGAAUAAGUAUCUUUUUAGUUAUAAAAUAAGUUCCGUUUUUAGCGAUUAAAUGAAAUAAAUACUCUAGGGAUAACAGCGUAAUAAUUUUGGAUAGUUCAUAUAGAUAAAAUAGUUUGCGACCUCGAUGUUGGAUUAGGAUUCUU